GGGGGGGGGGGGGGGGGGGGGGGGGGGGGGGGGGGGGGGGGGGGGGGGGGGGGGGGGGGGGGGGGGGGGGGGGGGGGGGGGGGGGGGGGGGGGGGGGGGGGGGGGGGGGGGGGGGAAAAAGGGAUGCGCAAUGCAAUUGCUCACCAGAUGCACAAUGCCAUUGCUCACCACCUGCUGACCAAUGCCCAUACAGCUCCCAGGUUUAUACACUGAGCAUGAUGUCAUAAUGUAUGGAAUAACCCUUUGAGCAGUUGGGGCCAGCUGAGCCAGCUGUGUCCCCUCCCAUCUCCUUGUGCCCCCCAGCCUUGUCAAAGUGGUGUGGUGUGAGAAGCUGAAAAGUCCUUGACUUAAAGUAAGCACUGCUCAACAAAACAUCAGUGUAUCAUCAACACUGUUCUCACCCUAAAUCCAAAACACAGCAUGAUACCAGCUACUAGGAAGAAAAUCACCUCUAUCCCAGCUAAAACCAGGACAGCAGGGUACCAGGGCAUCCAGGGAGCUGCACCCUGAACCCAUCCAAGAUGCUUUCCAGCACUGACACACUGCAGGAGUGUGUGCCCUGUGCUCCCCAGAUCACAGCAGACUAUUUUCCAACAGACUUAAAGGCAGGACAAAAGCAAGAAGUCAGCCAAGGAUUCCAGUUUCCUGAAGAACUCCUGAAUUUUGGAGCUCUAAAGUCCUGUGCCCAGCAUAAGAUGAUGUGCAGGUCCAAGGGUGCCCUGUGGAAACCUGUUUAA
rnacentral:lncRNA from 1 species